UUAAGCAUAUCAAUAAGCGGAGGAAAAGAAACCAACAGGGAUUCCCCUAGUAACGGCGAGUGAAGCGGGAACAGCUCAAAUUUGAAAUCUGGCCCUUGGGUCCGAGUUGUAAUUUGCAGAGGAUGCUUUUGGUGCGGUGCCUUCCGAGUUCCCUGGAACGGGACGCCUUAGAGGGUGAGAGCCCCGUACGGUUGGCCACCAAGCCUGUGUAAAGCUCCUUCGACGAGUCGAGUAGUUUGGGAAUGCUGCUCAAAAUGGGAGGUAUAUUUCUUCUAAAGCUAAAUACUGGCCAGAGACCGAUAGCGCACAAGUAGAGUGAUCGAAAGAUGAAAAGCACUUUGAAAAGAGGGUUAAAUAGCACGUGAAAUUGUUGAAAGGGAAGGAUUUAUGACCAGACUUUUUCUGGGGGGAUCAUCCGGUGUUCUCACCGGUGCACUUCCCCCAGUGGAGGCCAGCAUCGGUUUUUGCCGGGGGAUAAAAGCUUCGGGAAUGUGGCUCCUUCGGGAGUGUUAUAGCCCGUUGCAUAAUACCCUGGCGGGGACCGAGGUUCGCGCAUUGCAAGGAUGCUGGCGUAAUGGUUAUUAAUCACCCGUCUUGAAACACGGACCAAGGAGUCGAACAUUUGUGCGAGUGUUUGGGUGUUAAACCCUCACGCGUAAUGAAAGUGAACGGAGGUGAGAGCCCCUCGGGGUGCAUCAUCGACCGAUCCUGAUGUCUUCGGAUGGAUUUGAGUAAGAGCAUAACUGUUCGGACCCGAAAGAUGGUGAACUAUGCGUGGAUAGGGUGAAGCCAGAGGAAACUCUGGUGGAGGCUCGCAGCGGUUCUGACGUGCAAAUCGAUCGUCAAAUCUGCGCAUGGGGGCGAAAGACUAAUCGAACCA
rnacentral:rRNA from 1 species